AGAGUUUGAUCCUGGCUCAGGAUGAACGCUAGCGGCAGGCUUAACACAUGCAAGUCGAGGGGUAACGGGGAAGCUUGCUUCCGCCGACGACCGGCGCACGGGUGCGUAACGCGUAUACAAUCUACCUUAUACUGGGGUAUAGCCUUUAGAAAUGAAGAUUAACCCCCCAUAGUCUCUUAGAGUGGCAUCACUUCUAGAGUAAAGGUUACGGUAUAAGAUGAGUAUGCGUUCUAUUAGUUUGUUGGUGUGGUAACGGCACACCAAGACUACGAUAGAUAGGGGCCCUGAGAGGGGGAUCCCCCACACUGGUACUGAGACACGGACCAGACUCCUACGGGAGGCAGCAGUGAGGAAUAUUGGACAAUGGAGGCAACUCUGAUCCAGCCAUGCCGCGUGCAGGAAGACUGCCCUAUGGGUUGUAAACUGCUUUUAUACAGGAAGAAACACCUCUACGUGUAGAGGCUUGACGGUACUGUAAGAAUAAGGAUCGGCUAACUCCGUGCCAGCAGCCGCGGUAAUACGGAGGAUCCAAGCGUUAUCCGGAAUCAUUGGGUUUAAAGGGUCCGUAGGUGGAUAAUUAAGUCAGAGGUGAAAUCUUGCAGCUCAACUGUAAAAUUGCCUUUGAAACUGGUUAUCUUGAGUUAUUAUGAAGUAGUUAGAAUAUAUAGUGUAGCGGUGAAAUGCAUAGAUAUUACAUAGAAUACCAAUUGCGAAGGCAGAUUACUAAUAAUCAACUGACACUGAUGGACGAAAGCGUGGGUAGCGAACAGGAUUAGAUACCCUGGUAGUCCACGCCGUAAACGAUGGUUACUAGCUGUUUGGACUUCGGUCUGAGUGGCUAAGCGAAAGUGAUAAGUAACCCACCUGGGGAGUACGUUCGCAAGAAUGAAACUCAAAGGAAUUGACGGGGGCCCGCACAAGCGGUGGAGCAUGUGGUUUAAUUCGAUGAUACGCGAGGAACCUUACCAGGGCUUAAAUGUAAGUUGCAUUAGUUAGAGAUAGCUAUUUCUUCGGACCACUUACAAGGUGCUGCAUGGUUGUCGUCAGCUCGUGCCGUGAGGUGUCAGGUUAAGUCCUAUAACGAGCGCAACCCCUGUUGUUAGUUGCCAGCGAGUCAUGUCGGGAACUCUAGCAAGACUGCCAGUGCAAACUGUGAGGAAGGUGGGGAUGACGUCAAAUCAUCACGGCCCUUACGUCCUGGGCUACACACGUGCUACAAUGGUAGGUACAGAGAGCAGCCACUGCGCGAGCAGGAGCGAAUCUAUAAAACCUAUCACAGUUCGGAUCGGAGUCUGCAACUCGACUCCGCGAAGCUGGAAUCGCUAGUAAUCGGAUAUCAGCCAUGAUCCGGUGAAUACGUUCCCGGGCCUUGUACACACCGCCCGUCAAGCCAUGGAAGUUGGAAGUGCCUGAAGUCCGUCACCGUAAGGAGCGGCCUAGGGUAAAGUCGAUAACUAGGGCUAAGUCGUAACAAGGUAACC
rnacentral:rRNA from 1 species